rnacentral:rRNA from 1 species
AGAAUCAACGCUGGCGGCGUGCCUCAGACAUGCAAGUCGAACGCGAAAGUCCCCUUCGGGGGACAAGUAGAGUGGCGCACGGGUGAGUAACACGUAGGUAAUCUACCUUUGGAUGGGGAAUAACAACCGGAAACGGUUGCUAAUACCGCAUAAUGCAGCGGCACCUAAUGGUGACAGUUGUUAAAGCGGGGGAUCGAAAGACCUCGCGUCUGAAGAGGAGCCUGCGGCGGAUUAGCUAGUUGGUAAGGUAAUGGCUUACCAAGGCUACGAUCCGUAACCGGCCUGAGAGGGCGGUCGGUCACACUGACACUGACAUACGGGUCAGACUCCGUACGGGAGGCAGCAGUCGGGAAUUUUGGGCAAGUGGGCGAAAGCCUGACCCAGCAACGCCGCGUGAAGGAUGAAGUAUUUCGGUAUGUAAACUUCGAAAGAAUAAGGAAGAAAUAAAUAGAACGGUAACUUAAGUUUAAUAAGGUCCGACUAACUACGUGCCAGCAGCCGAC